rnacentral:rRNA from 1 species
GACGAACGCUGGCGGCGUGCUUAACACAUGCAAGUCGAACGAUGAACUUGGAGCUUGCUCUGGGGGAUUAGUGGCGAACGGGUGAGUAACACGUGAGUAACCUGCCCUGGACUCUGGGAUAACUUCGAGAAAUCGGAGCUAAUACCGGAUAGGACCUUGCACCGCAUGGUGUGGGGUGGAAAGUUUUUCGGUUUGGGAUGGACUCGCGGCCUAUCAGCUUGUUGGUGAGGUAAUGGCACACCAAGGCGUCGACGGGUAGCCGGCCUGUGAGGGUGACCGGCCACACUGGGACUGAGACACGGCCCAGACUCCUACGGGAGGCAGCAGUGGGGAAUAUUGCACAAUGGGCGCAAGCCUGAUGCAGCAACGCCGCGUGCGGGAUGACGGCCUUCGGGUUGUAAACCGCUUUUAGUAGGGAAGAAGCCUUCGGGUGACGGUACCUGCAGAAAAAGGACCGGCUAACUACGUGCCAGCCGCCGCUGUAACAC